rnacentral:rRNA from 1 species
CCUACGGGUGGCUGCAGUGAGGAAUAUUGGUCAAUGGACGAGAGUCUGAACCAGCCAAGUAGCGUGAAGGAUGACUGCCCUAUGGGUUGUAAACUUCUUUUAUAUGGGAAUAAAAUGUUCCACGUGUGGGAUUUUGUAUGUACCAUAUGAAUAAGGAUCGGCUAACUCCGUGCCAGCAGCCGCGGUAAUACGGGGGAUCCGAGCGUUAUCCAGAUUUAUUGGGUUUAAAGGGAGCGUAGGUGGAUUGUUAAGUCAGUUGUGAAAGUUUGCGGCUCAACCGUAAAAUUGCAGUUGAAACUGGCAGUCUUGAGUACAGUAGAGGUGGGCGGAAUUCGUGGUGUAGCGGUGAAAUGCUUAGAUAUCACGAAGAACUCCGAUUGCGAAGGCAGUUCACUGGACUGCAACUGACACUGAGGCUCGAAAGUGUGGGUAUCAAACAGGAUUAGAUACCCUAGUAGUC